UCUCUGUUAGGUCUUCUUCUUUUUCAUCUCAUCUUCUUCUCUAUCUAUAGAUGAACUACCAUGAAAAUCAAAAGUAUGAGGGGGCCUUUUCUUCUCAACAUCCCACCUCAAGUUAGAGGGGAACUUAGUGACCCCUAACUUGCCCAAAAUCUCUCGAUGAGAAACCCCAAAAAGAGGCUUCGUAAAGAUGUCUGCAAGCUGUGCUUUAGAAGGAAGGAAAGAAAGAGUAAUUAACCUUGAAACAAAUUGUUGACGCACAAAAUGACAGUCAAUUUCGACAUGUUUUGUGCGUUCAUGAAAGACAAGGUUUCGGGUGAUGUGAAUCGCUGCCUUACUAUCAGAAUGAAGAGAAAUUGGUAGAGUGACUGGUGCAAAUAGAUCCUCAAGAAUUCGUACCAACCAGGAAGCCCAGUCAACAUCACAGAAUGCGAGCAAGGAGAAAGAUGCCUCAGCUGACAGUAGAAUGCCUUGUCCUAGAUCAGAGCUGAGGUAUUUAAGAACUCGUAAAGCAGUAGAGAAAUGAGACACACAUGGCUUCUGCAUGUAUUGACUUAGGAUAUUCUCCAUCAUCAGCCUAAAGCUUGAGGGCAGGAUCCAAAGGAGAACUGACUCGAGGAAAAUGAGACACAUCAAAUUCCUGCAACAUGUCUAAGGUGAAUUUCCUUGACUCACAAUAAAUCCUGCU